rnacentral:tRNA from 1 species
GGGGGUGUAGCUCAGUGGUACAGCACUUGCCUAGCAUGUGCAAGGUCCUGUGUUUGAUCCCCAGCACUCCCC